rnacentral:piRNA from 1 species
AGACUUGGCCUUAGAUUAG